GCCUCCGUGGUGUAGUGGUGGUAGCAUGUAUCCCCGGCAUGGAUGAAACGCGAAUUCGAUUCCCGCCUGAGGCU